AAAAAAAAAAAAAAAAAAGCUUCAUAUUGGUGUUUAAACAUUGGGUUCAAUAACUUGAAUCUUGCUGGGUUUAUCCAUAUUAUCAGUAUGGACAAAAUCCUUGACGUUUGCUGUUUAAGGAUCAGCCUUAAAAUUGGAUCUUUCCUGAUCAAGUUAAGGAAAAAAAAUAUUUUCGGCUAUCUUUACCAGAAAAUUUUAUUAGAGUUGUGAAUGAUUUAGAUCAAUACUGACCUGAUGAUUAAGAAUUACUUCUUACUAUCAACAUAGUAUUAAACUUUAGCAAGAGACUAAAAUCUGAUAUCAUAAUUUGUAUCAAGUUCCUGCUAAUUACAUCUGUUGGAAUAUCACGUGUGAGAACAAGUUAAAGGGCAAAUAAGUGUAGGAAAAUCAAACCAAAAUGGCUUAAGCUAUAAGCCAUUUUGGUGAUGGGGAGCCUAGUUUCAAGUCCAGUUCAGCGUGUAGCUUGCCAGUUUGAUAUUCA
rnacentral:misc_RNA from 1 species